GUUCGACAACUUGUAUGGUUGCCGUCACUCACUCCCUGAUGGUCUCAUGAGGGCCACUGAUGUCAUGAUCGCUGGAAAGGUUGCUGUUAUCUGUGGAUAUGGUGAUGUUGGAAAGGGUUGUGCUGCUGCCAUGAAGACUGCUGGUGCUAGAGUCAUUGUGACUGAGAUUGAUCCCAUCUGUGCCCUUCAAGCUUUGAUGGAAGGACUUCAGGUUCUUACCCUUGAGGAUGUUGUCUCAGAAGCUGAUAUCUUUGUCACCACCACCGGUAACAAAGACAUCAUCAUGGUCGACCACAUGAGGAAGAUGAAGAACAACGCUAUUGUGUGCAACAUUGGUCACUUUGACAAUGAGAUUGACAUGCUUGGACUUGAGACUUACCCUGGUGUGAAGCGUAUCACCAUCAAGCCACAGACUGACAGGUGGGUGUUCCCAGAGACCAAGGCUGGAAUCAUUGUCUUGGCUGAGGGUCGUCUGAUGAACUUGGGUUGUGCCACUGGUCACCCAAGUUUCGUGAUGUCUUGCUCUUUCACCAACCAGGUGAUUGCCCAGCUCGAGCUCUGGAACGAGAAAGCAAGCGGAAAGUACGAGAAGAAGGUGUACGUUCUUCCCAAGCAUUUGGAUGAGAAGGUUGCAUUACUUCACUUGGGCAAGCUUGGAGCCAGGCUUACAAAGCUGUCAAAGGACCAAUCUGACUACGUCAGCAUUCCAAUUGAGGGACCAUACAAGCCUCCUCACUACAGGUACUGAGAGAGAGAGAGAGUCGACAAAGCGGUUCAGGUUCGGAUCUACUUGUGGUUUUGUGUUGGGUUGUGGUGGGAGAGUGGAACAGUUUGAGAUAUUGGUCUUCUGAUGAAGUUGACCAAAUAUCAGUAUUAAUAAGGGUUAUUGGCUUUUGAAGGUUGUGCUUGUUUUCUCCAUUUUUCAUGAAACUUAAAUUAGUUUUUGGUUUAGUUUCCCUCUUGAUUUUAUUUUGUGUGUUCUGUUUAGCGUUGUACUCUUCAAACAAAUGAGAAACCAAAAAAAAAGGGGAAACUUGUUUUCGGCAUCCCAGUGUUAGCGACUUUUGUUGAAUGAAUGUCUCAAAUGCUCAUCUUUAAUAAUGUGUGUUAGGACACGAACAACACAUGGUUCGAUUCGUGGGGGAUUUUAUGGUUGUAGUUAUUAUCGUACACGUUUCAAAGUUCUCUUAAG
rnacentral:sRNA from 1 species